rnacentral:rRNA from 1 species
CAGAGGCGAUGAAGGACGUGCUAAGCUGCGAAAAGCUACGGGGAGUUGCACAAGAGUUAAGAUCCGUAGAUAUCCGAAUGGGGCAACCUGAUAUAUUGAAGAUAUAUCGCACCGCAAGGUGAGCAAACCUAGGGAACUGAAACAUCUAAUUACCUAGAGGAGGAGAAAACAACAGUGAUUUCGAGAGUAGUGGCGAGCGAAAUCGAAACAGCCCAAACCUAUAUUGUUACGGCGAUAUAGGGGUAGUAGGACUACAAGAAGGCUAUAAUACAGAACUGGAAUGAUAUGGAAAUAUGAACCAUAGAGGGUGACAGUCCCGUACGGGUAAAGAAUUAUAGAGAUAGUAGUAUCCUGAGUAGCGCGGGACACGAGGAAUCUUGCGUGAAUUAGGCGGGACCAUCCGCUAAGGCUAAAUACUCCUGAGAGACCGAUAGUGAACAAGUACCGUGAGGGAAAGGUGAAAAGAACCCUGAAUAAGGGAGUGAAAGAGAUCCUGAAACCAUACGCCUACAAGCGGUCGGAGCCUUUAUAUUAUAGGGGUGACGGCGUGCCUUUUGCAUAAUGAGCCUACGAGUUAUUGGUUCUUGCGAGGUUAAGAUUUUAAGAAUCGUAUCCGUAGCGAAAGCGAGUCUGAAUAGGGCGAAAAUAGUAAGGAUUAAUAGACGCGAAACCAAGUGAUCUACCCAUGUCCAGGCUGAAGCUUUGUUAACCCAAAGUGGAGGGCCGAACCCGUUAACGUUGAAAAGUUUUGGGAUGAGGUGUGGGUAGGGGUGAAAGGCCAAUCAAACUUGGAGAUAGCUCGUACUCCCCGAAAUGCAUUUAGGUGCAGCGUAUGACAAGUUUAUUAGAGGUAGAGCUACUGAUAGGAUGCGGGGGUUUCAUCACCUACCAAUUUCUGACAAACUCCGAAUGCUAAUAAAUGGUGUCAUGCAGUGAGGGCUUGGGUGCUAAGGUCCAAGUCCGAGAGGGAAAGAACCCGGACCAUCAGCUAAGGUCCCGAAAUGUAUACUAAGUUGAACAAACGCGGUUUGACUGCACAGACAGCUAGGAUGUUGGCUUGGAAGCAGCCAUUCAUUUAAAGAGUGCGUAACAGCUCACUAGUCGAGCGGUCGAGCAUGGAUAAUAAUCGGGCAUUAAGUAUACUACCGAAGCUAUGGAUUACACAUUGAUAAGAUGUGUAGUGGUAGGGGAGCAUUGUAUUGGCGAAGAAGGUAAACUGUGAGGUUUUCUGGAGCGAAUAGAAGAGAAGAUGUAGGCAUAAGUAACGAUAAGGCAGGCGAGAAACCUGCCCGCCGAAAGACUAAGGAUUCCUGGGCUAUGCUAAUCAGCUCAGGGUUAGUCGGGGACUAACGCGAACCCGAAAGGGGUAGUGGAUGUAAGACGGGUUAAUAUUCCCGUACCUUCAUAACAAUAGAAGUGACGUAUAUGAGGACUUAGUGCGUGCUGACGGAAUAGCACGUUGAACUAGCUGAGAGGCUAGGACAGUAUGUGGAGUUUACGGACGAAGCAAUAAUCUAGGGUAUCAUGUACCGAGAAAAGCGAGUUAUGGAGCCCGUACCGCAAACCGACACAGGUAGUUGGGAAGAGUAUUCUAAGGCGCUCGAGAGAUUCAUGGCUAAGGAACUAGGCAAAAUAGACCUGUAACUUCGGGAGAAAGGUCGCCUGCUAAUAAGCAGGCCGCAGUGAUUAGGUCUGGGCGACUGUUUAUCAAAAACAUAGGACUCUGCAAAAUCGAGAGAUGAAGUAUAGGGUCUGACACCUGCCCGGUGCUGGAAGGUUAAGAGGAGGUGUUAGUCCAUAUGGACGAAGCACAGAAUUGAAGCCCCAGUAAACGGCGGCCGUAACAAUAACGGUCCUAAGGUAGCGAAAUUCCUUGUCGGGUAAGUUCCGACCUGCACGAAUGGUGUAACGAUCCGGACACUGUCUCGGCCAUGAUCUCGGUGAAAUUGUAGUAUCGGUGAAGAUGCCGAUUACCCGCAGUGGGACGAAAAGACCCCGUGAACCUUUACUAUAGCUUCGUAUUGACUUUGAACAAGUAAUGUGUAGGAUAGGUGGGAGACAUAGAAGUGGCAUCGCAAGGUGCUGUGGAGUCGAUGUUGAAAUACCACCCUUUGCUUGUUUAGAGCCUAACUUUAUUUUAAUGAUAGAGGACAUUUCGUGGUGGGUAGUUUGACUGGGGUGGUCGCCUCCAAAAGCGUAACGGAGGCUUCUAAAGGUACCCUCAGCACGUUUGGUAACCGUGCGUAGAGUGCAAUGGCAUAAGGGUGCUUGACUGAGAGACCUACGAGUCGAUCAGGUACGAAAGUAGAGCAUAGUGAUCCGGUGGUUCCGUAUGGAAGGGCCAUCGCUCAAAGGAUAAAAGGUACUCCGGGGAUAACAGGCUGAUCUCCCCCAAGAGCUCAUAUCGACGGGGGGGUUUGGCACCUCGAUGUCGGCUCGUCACAUCCUGGGGCUGGAGAAGGUCCCAAGGGUUGGGCUGUUCGCCCAUUAAAGUGGCACGCGAGCUGGGUUCAGAACGUCGUGAGACAGUUCGGUCCCUAUCUGCCGUGGGCGCUGGAGAACUGAGGGGGGCUGCUCCUAGUACGAGAGGACCGGAGUGGACGCAUCACUGGUGUUCGGGUUGUCAUGCCAAUGGCACUGCCCGGUAGCUAAAUGCGGAAGAGAUAAGUGCUGAAAGCAUCUAAGCACGAAACUUGCCCCGAGAUGAGUUCUCCCUGACUCCUUGAGAGUCCUGAAGGAACGUUGAAGACGACGACGUUGAUAGGCCGGGUGUGUAAGCGCAGCGAUGCGUUGAGCUAACCGGUACUAAUGAACCGUGAGGCA